rnacentral:rRNA from 1 species
CUCAUGGUGCCUUGUGCAUUAUUUGGUGCUUCGGUGUGGUACACGGUGGUGAUGAGACUAGUCGGCGCCAGGAGGUCGCUCAAGUCCUGCCAUCGCAUCAUCCUGAUUGGAUGUUUGCCUACGUGUCGAACGGUAUCUACUGAUGCCCUUGAAGUGCUGGCUGGAGCCCCGCCGCUGGACCUUGUUGCGACGCGCAACGCUAUGCAGUUCAAGCUGAAGAGGAGCUACCCGAUGGUAGAGGGCGAUUGGCUCUACGAUCAAGACGUUUCGACCCUUGAUCGUACCAUGAGGAGAGCCUUGCUGGACGAACGCUUGUUGCGUGAAUGGCAGAUCCGGUGGGAUGACAGCGAACACGGCCGUGUUACGCAUAGGUUCAUCCCGGAUGUUAGCUUCGUGUACAGCCGCCCCGACUUCAGUUUCACGAUGCCGACCAGUUUCCUCAUAACUGGUCAUGGCUCGUUGAAUGCUUUUCUGCAUGCGCGCGGUCUUAGCGAGACUGCUGGAUGCCUAUGUGGCCAUCCCCUGGAGGACUGGCUACACGUAUUGUGUGCCUGCCCCCUCUAUGCGGAUGUGCGGGAUCUGCAAGGACUUAGGAUUCAGCAGUCGGAAUCCGGUGACUGGACCAUGGAGAGGACCUUGAUGGAGGCGGAGAGCAUGCAACUGCUUGAAGACUAUGCUCGCACAGUCUUCAGCAGGCGACGCAUGCUGAUGGAUGGCAUGGGACCUGGCAGGCCAGUGCCGGACUGACGUCAGUCAAAACUGGUAGUAGAAUUAUCUGCGAGGGUCGGACCAAAGUCCUUAAAUUUGGGAGACGAAGUCCUUCGGGAUCAGUCGAAAGGCCGACCAGAGCCUCAAUCUGGCAGACUCUCUUCUCGGAGAGAGUCGAAGGGCUGACCAGAGCCUUAAUCUGGAAGACAAAUCCAAUCUGGAGGCGUCGAAGGGCUGACCAGAGCCUUAAUCUGGAAGACAAAUCCAAUUCUGGACGCGUCGAAGGGCUGACCAGAGCCUUAAUCUGGAAGACAAAUCCAAUUUGGAGGCGUCGAAGGGCUGACCAGAGCCUCAAUCUGGAAGACAAAUCCAAUUCUGGAGGCGUCGAAGGGCUGACCAGAGCCUCAAUCUGGAAGACAAAUCCAAUUUGGAGGCGUCGAAGGGCUGACCAGAGCCUUAACCUGGAAGACAAAUCCAAUUUUGGAGGCGUCGAAGGGCGGACCAGAGCCUUAAUCUGGUAGGUUAUCUCUUCGGAGGUGCCGCCGGUGUUAACCCAGUUUCCAGGUUGUCGGAAACCAAAAUGGGCAGUAGUCGCGGACUACUUUCAGCCGAUCAAAGCUGCAAAUUGUAACAGAUUUGAAAUUUGAACCACGGGAUGGGCUAGUGUCCGAGGCUAGCCCAGUGAGGUUGGCCCCCUUUAGUGGGAGUAUCGUGGUGGCUGUGGUGUUACCCGCUGUGUCUCCACUAUAGUUGGAGCACAGCUGCUGGGUCCAAUGUGUAUUUGGACCACAGCCGGAAGCUGUACCCGUAGUCAGCAGAGGUUAUGAUAGGCCUCGCCUCGACCCAAGAGGGAAUUGUGUCCGACAACACAAUUCGAGUUGGUAGCUAAAAGCGUUCUUUUAGGGGCGUUGGUGGACGCAUUGUUUUCACCCGCUGUACUAUGUGUCACAUAUGUGGCACAUGCGAGUACCGUGGUUGUAAACCCCCAUCGGGGUACACGUCACGUUAAACAAAUCAAGGAUUCUGUCCCUAUCUACUAUCUAGCGAAACCACAGCCAAGGGAACGGGCUUGGAAUAAUUAGCGGGGAAAGAAGACCCUUUUGAGCUUGACUCUAAUCUGGCAGUGUAAGGAGACAUAAGAGGUGUAGAAUAAGUGGGAGAUAUUAGGCUUCGGUUUGAUAUCGCCAAUGAAAUACCACUACUCUUAUUGUUUCCUUACUUACUUGAUUAAGUGGAACGUGUAUCAUUUCCUAGCCAUUAUACGGAUAUAUUAAUUAUGUCUUAUGGUAUUGGGUUUUGAUGCAAGCUUCUUGAUCAAAGUAUCACGAGUUUGUUAUAUAAUCGCAAACAAAUUCUUUAAUGAGAAAAUGCAGCAAUGUGUUUUUGAUUUAAUAAUUUGGUAUAACUCCAAUUACUCAGGUAUGAUCCAAUUCAAGGACAUUGCCAGGUAGGGAGUUUGACUGGGGCGGUACAUCUCUCAAAUAAUAACGGAGGUGUCCCAAGGCCAGCUCAGUGCGGACAGAAACCACACAUAGAGCAAAAGGGCAAAUGCUGACUUGAUCUCGGUGUUCAGUACACACAGGGACAGCAAAAGCUCGGCCUAUCGAUCCUUUUGGUUUAAAGAGUUUUUAACAAGAGGUGUCAGAAAAGUUACCAUAGGGAUAACUGGCUUGUGGCGGCCAAGCGUUCAUAGCGACGUCGCUUUUUGAUCGUUGGAUGUAGGCUCUUCCUAUCAGUGUGAAGCAAAAUUCACCAAGCGAGGGAUUGUUCACCCAUGCAAAGGGAACGUGAGUUGGGUUUAGACUGUCGUGAGACAGGGUUAGUUUUACCCUACUAAUGACAAAACGUUGUUGCGACAGCAUUCCUGCGUAGUACGAGAGGAACCGCAGGUACGGACCAAUGGCACAAUACUUGUUCGAGCGAACAGUGGUAUGACGCUACGUCCGUUGGAUUAUGCCUGAACGCCUCUAAGGUCGUAUCCGUGCUGGACUGCAAUGAUAAAUAAGGGGCAAUUUGCAUUGUAUGGCUUCUAAACCAUUAAAAGUUUAUAAUUCAUUUUAUAGACGACAAUGGAUGUGAUGCCAAUGUUAUAUAUAACAUAGUAAAUUGGGAGGAUCUUCGAUCACCUGAUGCCGCGCUAGUUAUAUUUUAAAACAUUAUUU